rnacentral:lncRNA from 1 species
ACAUACCUGAAUUCUUUAUUGAGUGGAAAAUAUGGCUGACCACAACGCCCAGAUUUUAUAGACAGUAGUUCCACUGCCUUUGGGAAUCCAGUUCUUGUUCCCAAUUUCAGGUAUUAAUAUCCUAGGGAAUUCUCUGAUGUGCUUUUGGGUUUACCGGCCUCCCAUGGACCAUUCAUGUGUAGGAGGCAUGAAGGCCAGGGCACGUGAAAGCAUGCCUGCCGCCCUGGACACUGUUCAGCAGGUCCCAGAAGGAGCCUAUGUUUACAGAGUAAGAGGAGAGGCUGACCAGCAAACAGAAGGGUCUGAUUCAUCCCCAAAUCACGAGACGAGCAAGGCUCAACCAUUGAUUUGUUUGUUUUGUACCUUGUUGGACAGCUCUAUAAAAUUGCAUACAUGUAUUGGAGCCUAGAACCUGAGAGGUUUAAGUAUGUUGUGUGUGUCUGUGUGGGUCUUCUUUGAAAAGUCAAUAAACAAGGGGGCUGGUUUGCCUGGAAUAGAGUGAACAAGAUAAAUGCAUGAGAGAUGAAGUCAGGAAGACCAUGGAGGCCACAAGCAUGAGGCCCGUGGGCCAUUCUGACAC